CCUACGGGUGGCAGCAGUCGAGAAUCAUUCACAAUGGGCGAAACCCUGAUGGUGCGACGCCGCGUGGGGGAAUGAAGGUCUUCGGAUUGUAAACCCCUGUCAUGUGGGAGCAAAUUAAAAAGAUAGUACCACAAGAGGAAGAGACGGCUAACUCUGUGCCAGCAGCCGCGGUAAUACAGAGGUCUCAAGCGUUGUUCGGAAUCACUGGGCGUAAAGCGUGCGUAGGCUGUUUCGUAAGUCGUGUGUGAAAGGCGCGGGCUCAACCCGCGGACGGCACAUGAUACUGCGAGACUAGAGUAAGGGAGAGGGAACCGGAAUUCUCGGUGUAGCAGUGAAAUGCGUAGAUAUCGAGAGGAACACUCGUGGCGAAGGCGGGUUCCUGGACAUUAACUGACGCUGAGGCACGAAGGCCAGGGGAGCGAAAGGGAUUAGAUACCCUAGUAGUC
rnacentral:rRNA from 1 species